rnacentral:rRNA from 1 species
CCUACGGGGGGCAGCAGUGAGGAAUAUUGGUCAAUGGGCUUACGCCUGAACCAGCCAAGUCGCGUGAGGGAAGACUGCCCUAUGGGUUGUAAACCUCUUUUGUCAGGGAGCAACGCCGGCUACGUGUAGCCGGACUGAGAGUACCUGAAGAAAAAGCAUCGGCUAACUCCGUGCCAGCAGCCGCGGUACUACGGAGGAUGCGAGCGUUAUCGGGCUUUAUUGGGUUUAAAGGGUGGGUAGGCGGAAUGCCAAGUCAGCGGGAAAAUCGCGGGGCUCAACCUCGCUCCGCCGUUGAAACUGGCGUUCUUGAGUGGGCGAGAAGUAUGCGGAAUGCGUGGUGUAGCGGUGAAAUGCAUAGAUAUCACGCAGAACUCCGGUUGCGAAGGCGGCAUACCGGCGCCCAACUGACGCUGAAGCACGAAAGCGUGGGUAUCGAACAGGAUUAGAUACCCGGGUAGUC